rnacentral:rRNA from 1 species
GACCUCGGAUCAGGUAGGGAUACCCGCUGAACUUAAGCAUAUCAAUAAGCGGAGGAAAAGAAACCAACAGGGAUUGCCCUAGUAACGGCGAGUGAAGCGGCAACAGCUCAAAUUUGAAAUCUGGCUCUUUUAGAGUCCGAGUUGUAAUUUGCAGAGGGCGCUUUGGCGUUGGCAGCGGUCCAAGUUCCUUGGAACAGGACGUCACAGAGGGUGAGAAUCCCGUACGUGGUCGCUAACCUUCGCCGUGUAAAGCCCCUUCGACGAGUCGAGUUGUUUGGGAAUGCAGCUCUAAAUGGGAGGUAAAUUUCUUCUAAAGCUAAAUACUGGCCAGAGACCGAUAGCGCACAAGUAGAGUGAUCGAAAGAUGAAAAGCACUUUGGAAAGAGAGUCAAAUAGCACGUGAAAUUGUUGAAAGGGAAGCGC